GAUGAACGCUGGCGGCGUGCCUAAUACAUGCAAGUCGAGCGAACGGACGAGAAGCUUGCUUUUCUGAUGUUAGCGGCGGACGGGUGAGUAACACGUGGAUAACCUACCUAUAAGACUGGGAUAACUUCGGGAAACCGGAGCUAAUACCGGAUAAUAUUUUGAACCGCAUGGUUCAAAAGUGAAAGACGGUCUUGCUGUCACUUAUAGAUGGAUCCGCGCUGCAUUAGCUAGUUGGUAAGGUAACGGCUUACCAAGGCAACGAUGCAUAGCCGACCUGAGAGGGUGAUCGGGCACACUGGAACUUGGACACCGUCCAGACUCCUACGGGAGGCAGCAGUAGGGAAUCUUCCGGAAUGGGCGAAAGCCUUACGGAGCAACGCCGCGUGAGUGAUGGAGGUCUUCGGAUCGGAAAACUCUGGUAUUAGGGAAGAACAUAUGUGUAAGGAACUGUGCACAUCUUGACGGGACCUAAUCAGAAAGCCACGGCUAACUACGUG
rnacentral:rRNA from 1 species